GAUGAACGCUGGCGGCGUGCCUAAUACAUGCAAGUCGAGCGAAUGGAUUAAGAGCUUGCUCUUAUGAAGUUAGCGGCGGACGGGUGAGUAACACGUGGGUAACCUGCCCAUAAGACUGGGAUAACUCCGGGAAACCGGGGCUAAUACCGGAUAAUAUUUUGAACUGCAUGGUUCAAAAUUGAAAGGCGGCUUCGGCUGUCACUUAUGGAUGGACCCGCGUCGCAUUAGCUAGUUGGUGAGGUAACGGCUCACCAAGGCAAGCAUGCGUAGCCGACCUGAGAGGGUGAUCGGCAACACUGGGACUGAGACACGGCCCAGACUCCUACGGGAGGCAGCAGUAGGGAAUCUUCCGCAAUGGACGAAAGUCUGACGGAGCAACGCCGCGUGAGUGAUGAAGGCUUUCGGGUCGUAAAACUCUGUUGUUAGGGAAGAACAAGUGCUAGUUGAAUAAGCUGGCACCUUGACGGUACCUAACCAGAAAGCCACGGCUAACUACGUGCCAGCCGCCGCAGUAA
rnacentral:rRNA from 1 species